UUUCGCAAUGCCCGAAAGGGUGACGAAGCGACGCCGCGUGUGGGAAGAAGGCCUUCGGGUUGUAAACCACUGUCGGGAGUUAAGAAAUGCAAGGAUAUGAAUAGUGUCUUUGCUUGACUAAGGCUCCGGAGGAAGCCACGGCUAACUCUGUGCCAGCAGCCGCGGUAAUACAGAGGCGGCAAGCGUUGUUCGGAAUUAUUGGGCGUAAAGAGCACGUAGGCGGCUAUGUAAGUCGGUUGUGAAAGCCUUCCGCUCAACGGGAGAACAGCAUCCGAUACUACAUGGCUUAAGUGCGGGAGGGGAGAGUGGAACUUCUGGUGGAGCGGUGAAAUGCGUAGAUAUCAGAAGGAACGCCGGCGGCGAAAGCGGCUCUCUGGCCCAUAACUGACGCUGAGUGUGCGAAAGCUAGGGGAGCAAACGGGAUUAGAUACCCCGGUAGUCCUAGCCGUAAACGAUGGGCACUAAGUAGAGGGGUUUU
rnacentral:rRNA from 1 species